rnacentral:rRNA from 1 species
ACGUUCUGGGCCGCACGCGCGCUACACUGACGGAGCCAGCGAGUCUAACCUUGGCCGAGAGGUCUGGGUAAUCUUGUGAAACUCCGUCGUGCUGGGGAUAGAGCAUUGUAAUUAUUGCUCUUCAACGAGGAAUUCCUAGUAAGCGCAAGUCAUCAGCUUGCGUUGAUUACGUCCCUGCCCUUUGUACACACCGCCCGUCGCUAGUACCGAUUGAAUGGCUUAGUGAGGCCUCAGGAUCUGCUUAGAGAAGGGGGCAACUCCAUCUCAGAGCGGAGAAUCUGGUCAAACUUGGUCAUUUAGAGGAACUAAAAGUCGUAACAAGGUUUCCGUAGGUGAACCUGCGGAAGGAUCAUUAGAGAAAUCUAUAUGAAUGAAGUUAGAGGACGACGUCUAAAGAUACUGUAAGAGAGGAUCAGGUUCAAGACCAGCGCUUAAUUGCGCGGUUGCGGCUUGGUUCGCCUUUUGCGGAACAUGUCUUUUCUCGUUGUUAACUCUACUUCAACUUCUACAACACUGUGGAGUUUUCUACACAACUUUUCUUCUUUGGGAAGAUACGUCUUGUGCGUGCUUCCCAGAGGUGACAAACACAAACAACUUUUUAUUAUUAUAAACCAGUCAAAACCAAUUUCGUUAUGAAAUUAAAAAUAUUUAAAACUUUCAACAACGGAUCUCUUGGUUCUCGCAUCGAUGAAAAACGCAGCGAAAUGCGAUACGUGAUGUGAAUUGCAGAAUUCCGUGGAUCAUC